UCGGCCUUCAUCCCAUCUUCAUUUUUCCGCGUCGAGUCGAAGUGCGGACUCGCCACCGUCUCCUUCAUCGCGUGCGCACCCCAUACACGCAGCCAACUUGACAGGUGGCGUUGGCGACACAUCUGCGCUUUACGUUUCCUUUUUAUGGCGUGAGUGUGCCCUCUGGUCGGAAGCCUGUGGACCCCCUUCUCGCCCGCUGACGGACAGCGGCCAGCCGACCUCACCAUCACGAAGACGUCUCUGCGUGCGCUCGUCGACCAUUGCUUCUUGUUCGCCUCUCCACCUUCCCUGCCCACCACCCAUCGGCACGCGCCACAGCACGUAAGGGGCCAGAGGCAGAACUGAAAGAUGUUCCUGGAGGUGUUCGUUGACCCGUUUGUGCUGUUCUGCACGUUGUGCAUCCUGACGCCGUUGUUUGUCGCCCGUGACGCGCUGACUACCGAGAUGGUGCAGGCGUAUUUCAGGGAGCCAAGCACAGCCUGCGCACUGGCCGCCGUCCCGGCUGCGUGGCUGAUCGGCAUCGGGUGGCGCUGGCGCGUUCAUCGCUCCCUCCGCCAGCGAAAGGCAUACCAGGAGGCGCACAAGUCCGAGAUGGAUCCUCAUGAGCUGAUCAACUACGAUAGCAUGAUGGCGCCCCUCACCUACGAGGAGCGCACCCGCGCGCGGUGGUACCUACUGAACGGCAUAGUCGUACACAUGUUCAUGGAUGGCUGCGUCGGCGUCUUCAAGACAAACCCGUUGCUUGCGGAGAACUACGCAAAGGUCGACGCGCGAUACGCGAGCGAGCUUGGCAGCCUCAACGGCUCGGCCGUGCACGUGGUGUCGCUCAUAGAGCUAUUCGUCAAGGGCCCUCUGUGCGUGCUCUUGUACUGGGCUUUCCAGGUGCGUCACCCCAUGCGCGACGCCCUCGAGUUUUUCGCGUGCGUCACGCAGGCGUACGGCACAAUCGUGUACCUCGGCCAAGAGGUUAUCAGCGGAGCGCCGAACCUCGACGUUGACCACGACCUCACCUUCAGCCCACACCACCUCUUCUACUUCUGGUUCGCAGUCGUCUUGGGCUGUGUGCUGUACCUGCUGGUACCCGCCGUGCUGGGCUGGCGCAGCUACGUUCGGCUGCGCAACCACUGCACUUUCUACAUGCAGCACCACUACAGCCGCCGCAGCGAUGGGCGUCGCAGUGGCAGCCACCUGGCCCCGCACAUGUGAGCGCGGUGGCAAUGUGAGGUGGGCGAGGGCAGGGUUGAUGGAAGGCGACGCUCAGGAGUGUCUCCCAAGAACAGCAGUACCGUGUCGGAGGACCAGCUCGCAUCUGCCGGCCGGCAAGCCGACCACCAGAUCAUGAAGACUCCACUUUCUGGGACCAGCACACGCGCGCCUCUGCUCCUGUUCUUCCUCAGCGUCGGGGGCGUGCGUGGACACGAUAGAGCCAUCCUUUGCACUAUGUUGUAUUGCGUUUCUUGUGCGUGUGUGUCUGUGGAGGUCUGACCUCAUUCC
rnacentral:misc_RNA from 1 species